rnacentral:rRNA from 1 species
AGCAGUAGCCACGGUAAUACGAAGGGUGCAAGCGUUACUCGGAAUUACUGGGCGUAAAGCGUGCGUAGGUGGUGGUUUAAGUCCGUUGUGAAAGCCCUGGGCUCAACCUGGGAAUUGCAGUGGAUACUGGGUCACUAGAGUGUGGUAGAGGAUAGUGGAAUUUCCGGUGUAGCGGUGAAAUGCGUAGAUAUAGGAAGGAACACCAGUGGCGAAGGCGACCACCUGGACUGAUACUGACACUGAGGUGCGAAAGCGUGGGGAGCAAACAGGAUUAGAUACCCGAGUAGUCCCUGUCUCUUAUAA